UUUCUUGUUGACACCAAUUUCUUUAGUUAUCUAUUCACACAAGAUAGAUGUCCAAACACAAACCUGGAAGUAUGUGUAAUACUACUACUGGAUAGCACAGGAUAAAUCUGAAAGUGGACAAGCUUUAUACUGUACACUACUA